AAUUUUUUGAAAGAUUUGGAUAUAUUUUGUUAUACUUUAACCUAACUGGAUUUUAAGGGAAGAGAGGUGAGAAUCCUCCGCUGCCCCGCAGCCGUGUUGGGAACGAAAGCCCACGCAUGCCACUGGAGAGCAAAUUCUCUGGGAAGGCGGGCAAGUAGGUUGAAGAGAGCCCAAAGCCGGAAGACCUAUCCAGUCAGAGAGCCUUUGG
rnacentral:ncRNA from 26 species